AGGUAUUGAAAUAAGAUUUUAAUUGAAUGCUAAGAAGAAUGGAAUUUCAGAAAAAAACUUUUUUCAAGUUAAAAAUUGAAAUUUUUUCAAUUUGUGCAGAAACAAUUAUUAAUAUUAAGGACAAGAAGACCCUAUGAAUUUAUAAAUUUUAUUUAAUAUGUAACUACUAUUGAAAAAAUUUUAGCUGGGGCGGCGGAAAAAUAUUUAAAACUUUUUUAAAAUAAAAUGACCCAUUAUUAAUGAUUAUAUGUUAAAUACUCUAGGGAUAACAGCGUUAUAUUUUUUGAUAGAUCAUAUUGACAAAAAAGUUUGCGACCUCGAUGUUGGAUUAGGAUACUUUUUUAAUGCAGAUAUUAAAAAAAGAAGUUUGAUCAGGACUUUUAAUUUCCUACUUGAUCUGA
rnacentral:rRNA from 1 species